UACAGAGGUCUCAAGCGUUGUCCGGAUUCAUUGGGCGUAAAGGGUGCGUAGGCGGCGCGGUAAGUCGGGUGUGAAAUCUCGGAGCUUAACUCCGAAACUGCAUUCGAUACUGCCGUGCUUGAGGACUGGAGAGGAGACUGGAAUUUACGGUGUAGCGGUGAAAUGCGUAGAGAUCGUAAGGAAGACCAGUGGCGAAGGCGGGUCUCUGGACAGUUCCUGACACUGAGGCACGAAGGCCAGGGGAGCAAACGGG
rnacentral:rRNA from 1 species